GUGAGUCCUAGUUCGCAAAUAUUUAUCGAACUUCUGCUUGUGCCACUUUUACUGAUGUCCCAGUGGACAGAGCCAAUGACAUGGUGCGUGCAGCCUCAGCAGUGGAGGGGACUGCCCAAGAACAUGGAUACUGGAAGCACAAUUGUAACACCUACCACAGGCAUCUUAGACUGCAGUGGAAUCUCCCCCACAGACAAAACAUGCCCACCAUCAGCCAGGACCCCAAAGUCUCAUCCAGUCGUGGUAUCAGGCUUGAAGUCCAUGAUCUUAUGAUCUUCAUGAGGCCCCAAUGUGGAAAAAGAUCUUCAGGUGGCAAAGGGAACCUCCAAGGAGGAACCCCUCUGGAGCAGAGUCUCAAAGCAGAGGGAUUGAGGAGAUACCGAGGGGAGCAUGCAACACCUGGUACGCGAGUCAAGAGGAGACAUGUUGAGAUGCAGCUAGGUCUCCUGGCAGAGGAGCGACUUGGUUCUGGUCUGGAUCCUCUGAGGGCAUAAAGCUGUACCUCAGCAAGUCUGCAGAUGAACAGUGAUAAAGACAAAUCAUUAGAAUGCAGAGCGCC
rnacentral:lncRNA from 1 species